UAGGGAAUAUUGCAAAUGGGCGAAAGCCUGAUGUAGCAACGCCGCGUGUGCGAUGAAGGUCUUCGGAUUGUAAAGCACUUUUUGGAGGGAUGAGGAAGGACAGUACCUCCAGAAUAAGCCUCGGCUAACUACGUGCCAGCAGCCGCGGUAACACGUAGGAGGCAAGCGUUAUUCGGAUUUACUGGGCGUAAAGCGCGUGCAGGCGGUUUGGAAAGUUGGAUGUGAAAGCUCCUGGCUCAACUGGGAGAGGUCGUUCAAUACUUCCAGACUUGAGAGUGGUAGAGGGAGGUGGAAUUCCGGGUGUAGUGGUGAAAUGCGUAGAUAUCCGGAGGAACACCAGUGGCGAAAGCGGCCUCCUGGACCACUUCUGACGCUCAGACGCGAAAGCUAGGGUAGCAA
rnacentral:rRNA from 1 species